GUGCUCGCUUCGGCAGCACAUAUACUAAAACUGGAACGAUACAGAGAAGAUUAGUAUGGCCCCUGCACAAGGAUGACACGCAAAUUCGUGAAGUGUUCCAUAUUUUU
rnacentral:snRNA from 1 species